rnacentral:rRNA from 1 species
UAAGGAAUCUUCCGCAAUGGGCGAAAGCUUGACGGAGCAACGCCGCGUGAGUGAUGAAGGUCUUCGGAUCGUAAAACUCUGUUAUUAGGGAAGAACAAAUGUGUAAGUAACUAUGCACGUCUUGACGGUACCUAAUCAGAAAGCCACGGCUAACUACGUGCCAGCAGCCGCGGUAAUACGUAGGUGGCAAGCGUUAUCCGGAAUUAUUGGGCGUAAAGCGCGCGUAGGCGGUUUUUUAAGUCUGAUGUGAAAGCCCACGGCUCAACCGUGGAGGGUCAUUGGAAACUGGAAAACUUGAGUGCAGAAGAGGAAAGUGGAAUUCCAUGUGUAGCGGUGAAAUGCGCAGAGAUAUGGAGGAACACCAGUGGCGAAGGCGACUUUCUGGUCUGUAACUGACGCUGAUGUGCGAAAGCGUGGGGAUCAAACAGG